UCGGGAAUCUUGCACAAUGGGCGAAAGCCUGAUGCAGCAACACCGUGUGAGCGACGAAGGUCUUCGGAUCGUAAAGCUCUGUUGUUGGGGACGAAGGGCGAAGGGUUAAUAGCCCCUAGCCUGACGGUACCCUUCGAGGAAGCCCCGGCUAACUACGUGCCAGCAGCCGCGGUAAUACGUAGGGGGCGAGCGUUGUCCGGAAUUAUUGGGCGUAAAGAGCGUGUAGGCGGUUCGGUAAGUCUGCCGUGAAAACCUGGGGCUCAACCCUGGGCGUGCGGUGGAUACUGCCGGGCUAGAGGAUGGCAGAGGCGAGUGGAAUUCCCGGUGUAGCGGUGAAAUGCGUAGAGAUUGGGAAGAACACCAGUGGCGAAGGCGCUCGACUGGGCCGUAACUGACACUCAGGGACGAAAGCUAGGGUAGCGAAAGGGAUUAGAUACCCCCGUAGUCC
rnacentral:rRNA from 1 species